rnacentral:rRNA from 1 species
GAUGACGCUGGCGGCGUGCCUAAUACAUGCAAGUAGAACGCUGAAGCUUGGUGCUUGCACCGAGCGGAUGAGUUGCGAACGGGUGAGUAACGCGUAGGUAACCUGCCUCUUAGCGGGGGAUAACUAUUGGAACGAUAGCUAAUACCGCAUAAAAGUCGAUAUCGCAUGAUAUUGAUUUGAAAGGUGCAAAUGCAUCACUAAGAGAUGGACCUGCGUUGUAUUAGCUAGUUGGUGAGGUAACGGCUCACCAAGGCGACGAUACAUAGCCGACCUGAGAGGGUGAUCGGCCACACUGGGACUGAGACACGGCCCAGACUCCUACGGGAGGCAGCAGUAGGGAAUCUUCGGCAAUGGGGGCAACCCUGACCGAGCAACGCCGCGUGAGUGAAGAAGGUUUUCGGAUCGUAAAGCUCUGUUGUAAGAGAAGAACGAGUGUGAGAGUGGAAAGUUCACACUGUGACGGUAACUUACCAGAAAGGGACGGC